UACGUAGGGUGCGAGCGUUAAUCGGAAUUACUGGGCGUAAAGUGUGCGCAGGCGGCCGCGCAAGUCGAGUGUGAAAUCCCCGAGCUUAACUUGGGAAUUGCGCUCGAAACUACGUGGCUGGAGUGUGGCAGAGGAAGGUGGAAUUCCACGUGUAGCGGUGAAAUGCGUAGAGAUGUGGAGGAACACCGAUGGCGAAGGCAGCCCUUCUGGGCCAACACUGACGCUCAUGCACGAAAGCGUGGGGAGCAAACAGG
rnacentral:rRNA from 1 species